UACGUAGGGGGCAAGCGUUGUCCGGAUUUAUUGGGCGUAAAGAGCGUGUAGGCGGCCUGACAGGUCUGCUGUGAAAACUCGAGGCUCAACCUCGAGACGCCGAUGGAAACCAUCUAACUAGAGUCCGGAAGAGGAGAGUGGAAUUCCUGGUGUAGCGGUGAAAUGCGCAGAUAUCAGGAAGAACACCCGUGGCUAAGGCGGCUCUCUAGUACGGUACUGACGCUGAGACGCGAAAGCGUGGGGAGCGAACAGG
rnacentral:rRNA from 1 species